rnacentral:rRNA from 1 species
UACGGAGGGGGCUAGCGUUGUUCGGAAUUACUGGGCGUAAAGCGCACGUAGGCGGAUAUUUAAGUCAGGGGUGAAAUCCCGGGGCUCAACCCCGGAACUGCCUUUGAUACUGGGUAUCUGGAGGUCGAGAGAGGCGAGUGGAAUUCCGAGUGUAGAGGUGAAAAUUCGUAGAUAUUCGCAAGAACACCAGUGGCGAAGGCGGCUCACUGGCCCGAUACUGACGCUGAGGCACGAAAGCGUGGGGAGCAAACAGG